UACGUAGGGGGCUAGCGUUGUCCGGAAUCAUUGGGCGUAAAGAGCGUGUAGGCGGCUCGGUAAGUCCGCUGUGAAAGUCCAGGGCUCAACCCUGGAAUGCCAGUGGAAACUGUCGAGCUAGAGUCCGGAAGAGGCGAGUGGAAUUCCUGGUGUAGCGGUGAAAUGCGCAGAUAUCAGGAGGAACACCGCGGCGAAGGCGGCUCUGGGCCGA
rnacentral:rRNA from 1 species